rnacentral:rRNA from 1 species
CCUACGGGCGACAGCAGUGAGGAAUAUUGGUCAAUGGACGAGAGUCUGAACCAGCCAAGUAGCGUGAAGGAUGACUGCCCUAUGGGUUGUAAACUUCUUUUAUAAAGGAAUAAAACGAGGCACGUGUGCCUUUUUGCAUGUACUUUAUGAAUAAGGAUCGGCUAACUCCGUGCCAGCAGCCGCGGUAAUACGGAGGAUCCGAGCGUUAUCCGGAUUUAUUGGGUUUAAAGGGAGCGUAGAUGGGUUGUUAAGUCAGUUGUGAAAGGUUGCGGCUCAACCGUAAAAUUGCAAUUGAUACUGGCAGUCUUGAGUACAGUUGAGGUAGGCGGAAUUCGUGGUGUAGCGGUGAAAUGCUUAGAUAUCACGAAGAACCCCGAUUGCGAAGGCAGCUUACUAAACUGUGACUGACAUUGAUGCUCGAAAGUGUGGGUAUCAAACAGGAUUAGAUACCCUUGUAGUC